GUCGAUUAAAUAAUAGUAAAACUCAAACCAAAGCAUCUCUCUGUGUGCUUUUAUCAAGUAUCAAACUGAAUCAUCCCAAGUCUUUUUUAGAAAAAGCUCGCAUUGAGAGUUCAGAUCCUAACCACUUGGUUUCCGUCUUACACUUGUUUGCUGAAGGAAGUUCAAUGUCACAGUAUUAACAGAUAAUUACAAUUCUACCAUGCUGAAAAAUCUUUAAGUUCUGCUGUUGAUGAGCCUGUUUUUCUCUUCUUCACUACAGAAAUAGGUGGCAGACUGCUAUCAGAAUAAGUUUUGGAAUCAGCCUGUGCAGCCCUUGCUUUCAAAUACUUCCCAAUUCCACUGCCAACAGCUUGAAUCUCUGAGGUUCCAGUUCCAGGAUUGCUGUACCAUGAUCCAACCUUCUCAUUGUCUGCAUCUUCAGUUUUGUUGUCAUCGUUUGUUUUCUCCUCUUCUUCAUCAAGCUCUGCAUAGGGGUUUACAUAAACUUCUACACUUAUUAUCUUGAUUUCUUCCAGAGGUCGGUCAUCG
rnacentral:misc_RNA from 1 species